GGGAGUUAAAGCUGUAAUUGCUAAGAGCUUCGAGAGGAUUCAUCGCAGUAACUUGGUAGGAAUGGGUAUUGUGCCUCUAUGUUUUAAGGCUGGGGAGGAUGCAGAUACACUUGGAUUGACAGGUCAAGAGCGAUAUACCAUUGAUCUUCCUGAAAAUAUUAGUGAGAUCCGCCCUGGGCAAGACGUUACUGUACAAACAGAUACUGGAAAAUCCUUCACCUGCGUAGUGCGGUUCGACACUGAGGUGGAGUUGGCUUAUUUCAACCAUGGAGGUAUUCUUCAAUAUGUCAUUCGUCAAUUGACAAAGCAAUGAGGAUCGCUAUGAUUAUUUGGCCACGUUUACAAAGCUGCCCGCUUAAUUGUGGGAAGAUGACAGAGCGUAAAGAGAGAGAUCUUCUUCUCAAUAGAGCAACUUGAGAAGGGAAUAAAUGAUUUUAAAACUUUUUUAUGUCCCUUUUGUUGGACAAAGUGUUGUUUAUUUACUUCUAAAGGCACUGUCAAGCUAGUCUUUUUCCUGCGGAUAGCAUUAUACCAUUUUUUUUGGUAAUAAAAUUUAAAUUGAGA
rnacentral:misc_RNA from 1 species